rnacentral:rRNA from 1 species
UACGGGGGGGGCAAGCGUUGUUCGGAAUUACUGGGCGGAAAGGGUUCGUAGGUGGCUUGCUAAGUCAGACGUGAAAUCCCUCAGCUUAACUGGGGAACUGCGUCUGAGACUGGUGAGCUUGAGUGCAGGAGAGGAACGCGGAAUUCCAGGUGUAGCGGUGAAAUGCGUAGAUAUCUGGAGGAACACCGGUGGCGAAGGCGGCGUUCUGGACUGCUACUGACACUGAGGAACGAAAGCCAGGGGAGCAAACGGG